GUCAUCACGUUACAUUACACUACAGCGCAGCUGAAGGGGCGUUCCUAACACUAGAGGGCGAAAUGCUUCUAUAGCAAAGUCUGCAUAUGCACCAAGUGUCUCACUGUAAAGGAGAUGCCGUCACGCUAGCAUUGGCCAGUAUGCUAUUUUUUAGGUCACAAAUAAAAUGGCAACAACUCUAAUAAAACCGACGACAUUCCUAAGAAACCGAAACAACUUACAAGUCCCUUCCUCUAGUAGCCGCUGUGCGGAGUCUGGUUUACCAAAGAACAGGACGCAUGCAAUUUCAUUGUCUGUCACAAGAUGUCAGUGUAAUUCUCUAAAUAUGAUAUACUGGAGCUCCACUGAAGAAAUUUGAACAACUGCUGCCAGACUACAUUAAACUAUGGGCUCUGAGCUUGCACUGCCUACAAGCUGAUGGCUUGUCCAACAGAGAUCCUUGAGUAGGGGAUGAUUGGCAACUUGUUGGCAGAAAAGUGUCCAGGCUCUUAUAGUACUGCACUGCAAUGGACAUAUGGUUAUUAUGACCAAAACAUGUGGGCGUGGUUUGUAUUAGAGAUGAACCAGUUGGAGUUUUCUACAGCCAAUGAUCAUCUGAAAAAUAAGAAAAUGAUACAGACCCAUCUGUCCCAUUUCCAAUGAAGAACUAUUUGUAGUAUAGUGACCAGUUUACAAUACAGAAAGUUACAGUGCCUUGCUAAAGUAUUCAUCCCCCAUUGCAUUUUUCAUAUUUUGUUGCCUUACAACCUGGAAUUAAA